UCCUGACCUCAAGUGAUCCACCCGCCUCAGCCUCCCAAAGUUCUGGGAUUUCAGGCAUGAGCCACCGCGCCCUGCCGACACUUCCAUCUUUGAAACAGGAGGGAAGAAAAUGGAUACAGUCAAGUAAAACAAAAAAGCUCCAAGGGGAGAGACAGGCAAGACGGGCGGAUGUGUUCCUCGACUGGUGUGCCAAAGGGAAGAGCGCAGGCUGGGAAAUGGGAGGUCCGAAACCUCCUCGUCCUGUCCCUGCGUGGGACCCCCAGGCCUGGGCAAGCUGUCCGCCCUCUUGAAAUGCAUCUGUGAAAGGUGGGCCAGAAGAUUCCUAAGGUCCCUCUGGGUGUGUAUGACACACCCUGGCCUCGGACUCUGUCGAGCACGACACUGUGUACUAGGUGCCAACCAGAUGUUGGUGCCUCCAGGAGGAACCUGACCCGGGAUAAGAGCCAGGGGCUUGUCUGCAGAGGACAGCAUGGGAAGGCCAUGGAGGACCUGACUCGCCUCACUCUCGCCAACCGGUGAUGGCUGUCUUCCCCGUCUGCAUGUGCUUGGGUGAACCUUGGCCCAUCUCUGCACUCAGGUCCUACCUAGAUCAGUUUACCUAUGACUGCCAUAACAAAUUACCACAAAGGCUUAAAACAACAGAAAUGUAAUCUCUCGCCAUUCUGCAAGCCAGAAGUCUAAAAUCAAGGUGUGUGCUUCUGACACUCCCUGGCUAAAGCAGUAUCCUUCCAACAUCUGCCCUCAUGGUCACAUGGCCACCUUCUCUAUAUGCCUCUGAUGAGGACACUUGUCAUUGGAUUUAGGGCCCACCCACUGAAAUCCAGCAUGCUCUCAUCUUGGGGUCCUUAGUUAUCCGUAAAGACCCUCUGUCCACAUAAGAUAAUAAUCACGUGUUUCAGAGAUUUUUACUUGUAUAUCUUUUUUUUUGAGGUGGGGGGACAUUUUUGGUCUGCCAUAGGUCCCCAUCUGGAAAAGAGGGGGUAGUGACUCCUGGGGUUGCUCUCUUUCCCUCCAAAUGGUCCCCUGCUUGGGAACCCAAAAGUGGGGUGGCUUGACUUCCCUGGGUAUAAGGGGUACGACAGACUUGACUGUCUGGGCCCCACGCACAAUGCAUAUGUGGAAGCCCGAACCCCCAGUGUGAAGGUAGAGCCUUGGGAGAUACUUAGGUUUAGAUGAGGUCCUGAGGAUGGAGCCUCCAUGAUGUAUUAGUGUCCUUUUAAGAAGAGGAAGAGACAGCAGACCUUCUCUCUGCCCUGUGGGGUCACAGCAUGAAAGCACUGUCUGCAAGCCAGGAAACGCCCGCGCCGGAACCUGACCAUGCCGGAACCCUGAUCUGCCCCCAGACUUUCAGCCCCCAGAACUGUGAGAAAUAAAUGUCUGUUGCCUAAGCCACCCA